UACGUAGGGGGCGAGCGUUGUCCGGAUUUAUUGGGCGUAAAGAGCGUGUAGGCGGUUCGGUAAGUCUGUCGUGAAAUCCUGAGGCUCAACCUUGGACGUGCGAUGGAUACUGCCGGGCUAGAGGAUGGUAGAGGCGAGUGGAAUUCCCGGUGUAGCGGUGAAAUGCGCAGAUAUCAGGAAGAACACCCGUGGCGAAGGCGGUUCGCUGGGACGGUACUGACGCUGAGACGCGAAAGCGUGGGGAGCGAACAGG
rnacentral:rRNA from 1 species